rnacentral:rRNA from 1 species
UACGAAGGGGGCUAGCGUUGUUCGGAUUUACUGGGCGUAAAGCGCACGUAGGCGGAUUGGUCAGUUAGGGGUGAAAUCCUGGAGCUCAACUCCAGAACUGCCUUUAAUACUGCCAGUCUCGAGUCCGGAAGAGGUAAGUGGAACUCCUAGUGUAGAGGUGGAAUUCGUAGAUAUUGGGAAGAACACCAGUGGCGAAGGCGGCUAACUGGUCCAGAUCUGACGCUGAGGUGCGAAAGCGUGGGGAGCAAACAGG